rnacentral:lncRNA from 1 species
AGUUCUUGUAAGUUUAUCCUGAUGAAGGAAGCGAUAAUGAGGGUUUCCGAAGUGUCAAUUGUUUAAUCCUGUACAUAUUCUAAAAAUCUGCCGAAAAGAUUAAACCUGGCUCGCCUCUGGUCGCCAUUUCUGCUAACAAUCUCAAGCUAAUUCAUCCCAGGAAAGGACAGGGGAAUCCAGUCUUCACGCUAGAACCAGGCCCUUGGGACAGCACAUGGGCUGACUGAGACUGAGAAAAGCAGAAGGUCAGAGAUCGAAAACACCCCUCGCAACCCUCGGGAGGAGCCACAGGAAAGGAUGGGGAAGAAGUAAAUAAUAGAAUAUGGUCCUCCUGAAAUGGAAAACAAGGAAAUUCUGUAAGCUAUGACAGCUCAUGGUCCUGCAUCACAGCAUCUGGAGAAGACAAAUGCAGAAUGAGGAGAAAGAACAUACGGAGGACCCAGGAUCCAGAAUCCCAGAUUGGGGGAUAUGGUCACAUGAUUUCUACCUUCAGUUUUAUCAUGGCACAUUUGUUUGCAGACUCUGAAGGCUCCUUGCAUUCUUCUGAUGAAGCCAGCAUGAUCGCAAUGCAUGAUCUUUUCAAUGUGCUAUGAAGCUCACAUGACUGAGUAAUUCCCUGAGGGUUUUCUCAGAGGAUUUAAACGUUUCUGUUUAUCGGGAAUGCUGGUUCACGGAUUUGGUUUUUUUGUUUUUUGUUUUGUUUGUUUGUUUGUUUGUUUUUGUUUUUUUGGGUUUUUUUUGUUUUUUUUUUUUUAUUGUGUCUUGCCAGUUUGAGGUAAUGCUUAACUCACAGAAAAAAGAUUAAAGUGUACUUCAUCCAUUUAUAUUCCAUGGAAUAAUUUGAGAAACAUUAAUGUUAAUUAUUGUUUAAUCAUUUGGCAAAGCUCAGCAGUGAAGCCAUCUUGCUCUGUUCUCUACUUAAGAAAUAUUUGUAUUACUAACUCAAUAUGGCUGCAUUUAUUAGUCUAGUCUGACUUCCUUUCCCCUUUGCAUUCUUGGUUCAAUGUUUGUAGGUUACAUGAUGGUAGAAAUUUAUCUUAUUCUGUACUUUUAGUUUGUUAUCAAAUAGUUAUUCAAAAUAAUCCUUAAUGGUACUUUGAACUUCAAUAGAAUGAGUUAUGAUGUUUCAUUUUUUGCUUCCAUUUUUUCAAUAUCUAGGACACUCUCCCUAUUUUCUUAGUCUAAUUGAAAGUUUACUCAUAUUAUUUAUAUUUUUAAAGCAUGGAUUCUGAUUUAUGGAUAUUUUGUGUGUUAGAUUAUUUAAUUUAUUUUCUCUUAGUUUUCUUGUUUGUUUCUUCUACUUAUUAGAACUGGUUUGCUUUUAUUUUCUGAGUUGUUGGGCUGUUGAUGUUUGGUUGACUUCUCUUUGUGCUGGGUGCUCAGUGCUGGAUACUUUUUGCUUGGUGCUGAUUUUGCUGCAAUUUGUUGCUUUUGAAGUUUUGUAAUUUUCAUUCAUUUCAAGAAAAUUUUAAAUGUCUCCGCUGACUCCCUCAAUGACUUCUAGCUCAUUAAAGUGUGCACUGUUUCGUC